rnacentral:lncRNA from 1 species
UGCACCAGUUUUUUGUUCUCGCAGGUAUUUUUGCUUUCUUUCUACAACACUUGUCCCGGUGCGUCCAUCCUCCACGUCAUCUAAUAAUACAAUACAUCUUCGUUUAGCAUAGUCAUUGAGGGGUCCAUGUGAUGAUGAUAUUUGUCUCAAUGCCUAUCUUUGUUCAGCAUAGUCCCAUUAAUAUAGUGUGGUUCUUUUUUCUUAGGCACCAGUUCACAUAACCUUUUCCUUGGUCGGUCAUCAUUAUUCUGUGACUGCAAAAUGAAAUGCAUUUAAAAAUAAUACAUGCUUAAAAAUCUAAAAAUGUGUAUGGUGGAAACAUUAAUCUCCCUUUUAGCUCGCAUGUCUUGCUUCUUCGUUUUUUGUUCCAACACGGUGUCCACUUUGUCAUCUAUCAACUGUUUGGCAUACUGCAAGAUAAGCCAGUGAGGAAGAACAGAAAAGAUAGUACUUAGUUAAUUAUUUUGAUGAAUUAAAUGCACCUUUACCUCCUCAGCUUUAUUGUUCAAGUACAACAUCUCUAGCGAGGCAUAAAUCUUCUUUUUACUACCUAGUUUUGCUUGCCAAAAAUAAGAUUACUGCUGUUGAGCUUGAAUCUAAAGAUAAUUUAUCCUCGCCAUUAGAUGACAGACAUCGCACAUCUGAGUCUUCAUCGUUAAAUGUUGUAUUUUUGACUUUUGAUUCGAUGUGUUAUUAGUAGACCAGAAUAGAUAAUGUUUCAUACUUGUGAAGAAGUUCUUGAAUUUUGGAUAUAUCUAGAUCCCUACGUAUUCUUGUGGCACAUGUUGACUUCACGCACAAACCCAUCAACAAUUAAUCUAUUACAUAUUUUUGUUUUGUAAUUAAAAAAAAUGAGAUUUCGAAAUUAUUGGACUUACAAUUGCAUUUUUGCACCAUUGUUUAGGUCACUGUAAGGACGGUUUGGUUUUGGAGUACAUAUUCAUCCAAAUAAUAAGCAAACAUUCCGAUAUCGUAACUUUGGUUCAGCCGAAGAUGUUAAGCCUGGAAAUUUAAUGCCGACCGCAAUGGAGGAAGUUAGAACUUAAGACAUUGGUAUACACUCUGCACUCACUCUGGUAUUGGAAAAUAAAUAUAACGGAUAUAGGACGGUUUUGUGUUCUUUGUUGUUUUUUUUGUUCCACAUGCUUCAUCUGGGUAAGUAGUCCGAUGACAUCUGUCAAUUUGGUGAUUAAUUACCUCAUAGUUAUAAUGAUUGAUUAAACAAAAAUCUGAUUUAUAACUGUAACAUACCUGAGCAUUGCUUACCUUUAUACGCUUCUUGUUGUAGUAUGACCUUGGUAUCGGACUCAAAGUACUAAUUCUGAAGAACUUUCAAUAAUCCUACAUCUGUCAAAUUGGUGAUUAAUUGCCACAUAGGUAGAAUGAUGGAUUAGCCCAAAAUCUGAUUUACAACUAUGACAUACCUGAGCAUUAUUUAUCUUUUUAUAUGAUUGUUGUAGUAUGUCCUUGCUAGCAAACUCAAAGUAGUAGUUAUGAAAAACUUCUGUCCUUUCACCUCCUUUCUUUGUGUAUUGUAUGCAAACUUUUUUCUAAUAUCAUUGUUCAGCGGGCCAUAUUUUGUGCCUCCCACAACCUAUUGCUAAAUGAAUAAAUAUAUUUCUUAGUUAUCCUUUGAUUUAUAACUAUCCAUCUGAUUUUUACAUAUGGUAGCAUGAGUUGUUUGGUCCUCUAUGAAAAUAACUACUAUAUACUUAUCAACUAUUGUUUGAUACAGUACAAUAGUCCACAUUUCAAAUUGUAUAUAAUAAACCUGCUCAUCCGUCAAGAUCACAUCAAGACUCAGUCAUCGAUUGUUUUUGAAACAAUAGAAUAGUCUGCAAUUAAAUAUGUAUAGCAUAAACCUGUACAUCCAUCAAGACCAUAUCAAGGCUUAUAAGUUCAUCGGUUGUAGGAUCGAUUAUAUCCCAUGUUCUCGUUACUUUCACUGAAACAUCCCAGUUUUGGUCUCUUGUUGAAGUUUCCCAGCUUCUUGUAUUCCCUAGCGUUUUCAAUUCAAAGGGAUUAAAACGCAUUGCUUCAAAAGGAUUGAAAAAGUUGUUGUCAAUUGAUAACGUAAAUAUGAAGAUUUUAGCUGAAAUAGUGAGUUCAUAGUAAUAAUAAUUACUAACCUUGUUGAUUCAGGUGAGAAGGAAACUCAGAUGGCUGGGUGUAACUUCUGUAGAAAUCGAGUUGCAUACCACUUCAUAAUUUGGGCUGGCUUCGAUAUUUGCUGUGCGCCGAGUCUGAACAUCUCGCGUCAGAGUCUGUUGGCUUCUAUUGUCCUGGUGGUGGCAUAGUUGAGUCAUGGCAUCGUAGAGCUGGUUGGCUUCAAUUUUCUUGGUGUGGCGCAGAGUCGUGAGUUGCUGGGUAUCUUAGAUUUCCAUGGUGGGCGAUGGCUGGGUGUAACUUCUGUAGAAAUCGAGUUGCAUACCACUUCAUAAUUUGGGCUGGCUUCGAUAUUUGCUGUGCGCCGAGUCUGAACAUCUUGCGUCAGAGUCUGUUGGCUUCAAUUGUCCUGGUGGUGGCAUAGUCGAGUCAUGGCUUCGUAGAGUUGGUUGGCUUCAGUUUUGUAGGUGUGGCGUAGAGUCGCGAGUUGCUGGGUAUCUUAGAUUUCCAUGGUGGGCAUGUGCAGCUGAUGGAUGUGGCAGGCUGUGUAUUUUUAUGGAUGAGUUCUCGCCGUUGUCUUUAUGGAGUCCUUGUAUGUUUAUAUUUCCAAUUAAAGGCUAUAUGUGACAACAUGAUGAUGGAUGCGGCCAGCCGUGUAUUUUAAUGGUGACCGUGUCCGUAUGCACUCCUUUGCAUGUGUAUGUGUUUACGUGCUCUUGGCUUACCCAGCUGUGUAUUUUAAUGGUGACCCUGUCCGCAUGCACUCCUUUGCAUGUGUAUGUG